CUCUCCACAACUCGAGGAAAACGACGACGUCUUCUGGUGUUAUAGUAACCUUGUAGAACUACGACCGUUGGGAACGAGGGCUCUGAAUCGUCGUCUACAACGCUGAAUGGUGUUGGGAUGCUGUGGCCUCUAAUUCCGUUAGUCGCAUGGGAACAGAACAGUCUUGUUAAGUUAUAAGCACUUUGGCUGCUUGUUUUAUUGCUGUUUUCUGAGGUGGAAAUCUGCUCGAAACGAGUACUUCAUCAACUAGUCCGUACGAGACCCUUUGGUUAUUGGACUCUCUUUUUGAUCCGAGAAUACUAUCCCUCAGUGAUUUCAUUUAGUUGUUUAUUUCCAUUACCAUUAAUUGGGUUAUCAAAUGAAAAUAAAAACUAUUUAAUAUCUGCACAAUCUUUUCAUCAGAGUAAAACACCAAAAAGAAGACUUCAAUUUGAGCAAGUUUUGACAAAUAUAUAUAAAUAUGGACCAUAUGAGAAA